UACGUAGGCAGCAAGCGUUGUUCGGAUUUACUGGGCGUAAAGGGUGCGUAGGCGGCUUCUUAAGUCUGGUGUGAAAUCUCCUGGCUCAACUGGGAGGGUGCGCCGGAUACUGAGGGGCUAGAGUGUGGGAGAGGAAAGUGGAAUUCCAGGUGUAGCGGUGAAAUGCGUAGAUAUCUGGAGGAACACCGGUGGUGUAAACGGCUUUCUGGACCAUUACUGACGCUGAUGCACGAAAGCGUGGGUAGCAAACAGG
rnacentral:rRNA from 1 species